GUCUAGGCAUAUAAGAUAGGGAAAACGGGCAGCCCAGCAUCAUCCAAGUGCGAUGAAAUUUGGCAGGCGGUCUACCUACCAUAAAACAAGACCGCACACAAACUUUCAUCCCAUUCAUAUAAUGUUUUAUACACAGUUUUGAAAACAAUAUUUUCACGAUGUUGCGGGCGUGUGCGUGUGUGGUUGGUCCUAAAACGGACAACGAGAAAAGUGG
rnacentral:lncRNA from 1 species